rnacentral:lncRNA from 1 species
UAAAGAUAGGUAAAUAAAUUAGAUCUAAUUAAAAUUAUCAAAAUAUAUUUAAAAAGAAAUAUCAUAUAAUUUUUUUUUAAAAUUGAUUUUUUAAAAGCGAAAUACCAUUUUUUCUAAAAAAUAUAUAUUUUUAAUUCAUUUUGAAAGUAUCAAUUAGAAAAAUAUAUCAUUGAUUUAAUUUUAGGUGUAAAAAAUGAUUCCUUUUAAACAAAACACAAAUUUUAUGCAAG